AUGGACAAGAAAGGAGAAGUGUGGCAGUGGACAGUCAAGAACAGGUGGAUGGCUCUGCUACUGGAACAGGAGCAAAUGAUGCACCUGUGGCUGUUGCAGCCCCUGCAGAACAGGCAUCAGCGGAGGAUACUGAACGUUCAGCUGCAGAGCCGGGAGUGGUUAUUAAGUGUCCAAUUUGCAUGGGCUUUUACUCAGAGAUUGUGCAGAGUGGACGAGAGCUCGUGUCAACUCUAUGUGGCCACUUGUUCUGCAGUGUGUGCCUCCCUAGAGCCUUGGAGACUGCUCAGAUGUGCCCAAUCUGCAGAGCAGAACUCGGUCCAGAACUAUACCAUCCAAUUUAUUUUUGAGUGCCUCUGCUUCUCAGGACAGACUCAGGAGGAUCUUGGAGACUAGGCGGUGUACAGUCUUGUUUCUUUACAUAUAUAGUUUUUCCUGUACAUAGUUUCAUGUUUUC
rnacentral:lncRNA from 1 species